rnacentral:hammerhead_ribozyme from 1 species
GCACUGCUGACGAGUCCCAAACAGGAUUAAACAGCUAUUGUCCAGUGC